UCGUUUCGAAUCCAGCUUCGUGCGAAACAAUUCAACAUGUGCUUCGAAAAUUUUUUGUUAGCAACAGUAAGAACGAUAGAAAGAAUUUAUUCGACUUGAAAGAGUGGAAACGUUAUGGUACAAUGUGAUCGACAAUUUUAAUCGUGCUUAGGAAGUGAUCAAUAACAUAAAAGCAUAAACUCAUGGUGGUACCAUGUGUUCGGGAUUUUGACAAAAGAAUGGAUGUAUCGGAUCUAUAGUCUGAAUCUUUCGCAACAAAAAGAAACUACAAGAAAUAGCCAAAUUUAAUUCAUGGUGACAAGAUACCUCAACAUGGCUGUAACAUCUAAUUUGUACUUUGUUGGAAGAAAUAACCAUAUAAAUGAUAAAUAACAUUUUAUAAACAUUUGUACAUGCUCUAUACUGAUCAAA